UACGUAGGGGCCGAGCGUUGUCCGGAGUUAUUGGGCGUAAAGCGCGCGCAGGCGGCUUGGCGCGCCCGACGUGAAAGCCCCCGGCUUAACCGGGGAGGGUCGUCGGGUACGGUCAGGCUUGAGGGCGGGAGAGGGUGGUGGAAUUCCCGGUGUAGUGGUGAAAUGCGUAGAGAUCGGGAGGAACACCGGUGGCGAAGGCGGGAUCCUGGGCCAGUACUGACGCUGAGGAGCGAAAGCGUGGGGAGCAAACAGG
rnacentral:rRNA from 1 species